GAUGAACGCUGGCGGCGUGCCUAAUACAUGCAAGUCGAGCGAACGGACGAGAAGCUUGCUUCUCUGAUGUUAGCGGCGGACGGGUGAGUAAAACGUGGAUAACCUACCUAUAAGACUGGGAUAACUUCGGGAAACCGGAGCUAAUACCGGAUGAUAUUUUGAACCGCAUGGUUCAAAAGUGAAAGACGGUCUUGCUGUCACUUAUAGAUGGAUCCGCGCUGCAUUAGCUAGGUGGUAAGGUAACGGCUUACCAAGGCAACGAUGGAUAGCCGACCUGAGGGGGUGAUCGGCCACCCUGGAACUGAGACACGGUCCCGACUCCUACGGGAGGCAGCGGUAGGGAAUCUUCCGCAAUGGGCGAAAGCCUGACGGUGCAACGCCGCGUGAGUGAUGAAGGUCUUCGGAUCGUAAAACUCUGUUAUUAGGGAAGAACAAAUGUGUAAGUAACUGUGCACAUCGUGACGGUACCUAAUCAGAAAGCCACGGCUAACUACGUG
rnacentral:rRNA from 1 species